rnacentral:rRNA from 1 species
UACGAAGGGGGCUAGCGUUGUUCGGAUUUACUGGGCGUAAAGCGCACGUAGGCGGGUCGUUAAGUCAGGGGUGAAAUCCUGGAGCUCAACUCCAGAACUGCCUUUGAUACUGAAGAUCUUGAGUUCGGGAGAGGUGAGUGGAACUGCGAGUGUAGAGGUGAAAUUCGUAGAUAUUCGCAAGAACACCAGUGGCGAAGGCGGCUCACUGGCCCGAUACUGACGCUGAGGCACGAAAGCGUGGGGAGCAAACAGG